rnacentral:rRNA from 1 species
CCUGGCUCAGGAUGAACGCUGGCGGUCUGCUUAACACAUGCAAGUCGAACGCAACCUUCGGGUUGAGUGGCGGACGGGUGAGUAACGCGUGAGAAUCUGCCUUGGGGUCGGGGACAACCACUGGAAACGGUGGCUAAUACCGGAUAAGCCUUUGGGUAAAAAAUUUAUUGCCCCAAGAGGAGCUCGCGUCUGAUUAGCUAGUUGGUGAGGUAAAAGCUCACCAAGGCAGCGAUCAGUAGCUGGUCUGAGAGGACGAUCAGCCACACUGGGACUGAGACACGGCCCAGACUCCUACGGGAGGCAGCAGUGGGGAAUUUUCCGCAAUGGGCGAAAGCCUGACGGAGCAAGACCGCGUGAGGGAGGAAGGCUCUUGGGUUGUAAACCUCUUUUCUCAGGGAAGAAGCUCUGACGGUACCUGAGGAAUCAGCCUCGGCUAACUCCGUGCCAGCAGCCGCGGUAAUACGGAGGAGGCAAGCGUUAUCCGGAAUUAUUGGGCGUAAAGCGUCCGCAGGUGGCGAUUCAAGUCUGCUGUCAAAGCACGGGGCUUAACUCCGUUAAGGCAGUGGAAACUGAAUAGCUAGAGUGCCGUAGGGGUAGAGGGAAUUCCCGGUGUAGCGGUGAAAUGCGUAGAGAUCGGGAAGAACAUCGGUGGCGAAAGCGCUCUACUGGACGGCAACUGACACUCAGGGACGAAAGCUAGGGGAGCGAAUGGGAUUAGAUACCCCAGUAGUCCUAGCUGUAAACGAUGGAUACUAGGUGUAGCUUGUAUCGGCCCGAGCUGUGCCGAAGCUAACGCGUUAAGUAUCCCGCCUGGGGAGUACGCACGCAAGUGUGAAACUCAAAGGAAUUGACGGGGGCCCGCACAAGCGGUGGGAGUAUGUGGUUUAAUUCGAUGCAACGCGAAGA